rnacentral:tRNA from 1 species
GGAAGGGUGCUUAUAAGCGUUAUACUUUGCAAAAGUCUAAAAGAGGUUUAAUCUCCCCUUUCU